GCUGAUUUGGUAUAAAGGCGUUACAGCAGUUUUGUAACUUACUUACAGGAGUUCAACUCCUCUAAUCAGCACCA
rnacentral:tRNA from 1 species